rnacentral:rRNA from 1 species
CUAAUACAUGCAAGUCGAGCGCGGGAAGCAGGUUUCAGUCUUCGGACGGACGUCUGUGGAACGAGCGGCGGAUGGGUGAGUAACACGUGGGUAACCUGCCUGUAAGCUUGGGAUAACUCGCGGAAACGUGAGCUAAUACCGAAUGAUCCUAACGUUCGCAUGAACGUUAGGUAAAAGGCGGCUUUUGCUGUCACUUACAGAUGGACCCGCGGCGCAUUAGUUAGUUGGUGGGGUAACGGCUCACCAAAGCGACGAUGCGUAGCCGACCUGAGAGGGUGAUCGGCCACACUGGGACUGAGACACGGCCCAGACUCCUACGGGAGGCAGCAGUAGGGAAUCUUCCGCAAUGGACGAAAGUCUGACGGAGCGACGCCGCGUGAGUGAUGAAGGUCUUCGGAUCGUAAAACUCUGUUGUUAGGGAAGAAUAAGUACGGACUGAAAAGGUCAGUACCUUGACGGUACCUAACCAGAAAGCCCCGGCUAACUACGUGCCAGCAGCCGCGGUAAUACGUAGGGGGCAAGCGUUGUCCGGAAUUAUUGGGCGUAAAGGGCGCGCAGGCGGUCUUUUAAGUCUGAUGUGAAAUCUCGUAGCUUAACUACGAGCGGUCAUUGGAAACUGGAAGACUUGAGGACAGAAGAGGAGAGUGGAAUUCCACGUGUAGCGGUGAAAUGCGUAGAGAUGUGGAGGAACACCAGUGGCGAAGGCGA